rnacentral:rRNA from 1 species
GGACCGAACCGACUAAUGUUGAAAAAUUAGCGGAUGACUUGUGGCUGGGGGUGAAAGGCCAAUCAAACCGGGAGAUAGCUGGUUCUCCCCGAAAGCUAUUUAGGUAGCGCCUCGUGAACUCAUCUUCGGGGGUAGAGCACUGUUUCGGCUAGGGGGCCAUCCCGGCUUACCAAACCGAUGCAAACUCCGAAUACCGAAGAAUGUUAUCACGGGAGACACACGGCGGGUGCUAACGUCCGUCGUGAAGAGGGAAACAACCCAGACCGCCAGCUAAGGUCCCAAAGUCAUGGUUAAGUGGGAAACGAUGUGGGAAGCAUAGAGCAGCCAGGAUGUUGGCUAGAAGCAGCAUCAUUUAAAGAAAGCGUAAUAGCUCACUGGUCGAGUCGGCCUGCGCGGAAGAUGUAACGGGGCUAAACCAUGCACCGAAGCUGCGGCAGCGACGCUUAGGCGUUGUUGGGUAGGGGAGCGUUCUGUAAGCCGUUGAAGGUGACCUGUGAGGGUUGCUGGAGGUAUCAGAAGUGCGAAUGCUGACAUAAGUAACGAUAAAGCGGGUGAAAAGCCCGCUCGCCGGAAGACCAAGGGUUCCUGUCCAACGUUAAUCGGGGCAGGGUG